rnacentral:tRNA from 1 species
UAGCUCAAACGGUAAAGAAUCUGUCUGCAAUACAGGAGACCCAGGUUCAAUUCCUGG